rnacentral:rRNA from 1 species
UCGGAGGGUGCAAACGUUGCUCGGAAUCAUUGGGCGUAAAGCGCGCGUAGGCGGCUGGACAAGUUGGAUGUGAAAGCCCUGGGCUCACCUAGGAUGUGCAUUCAAAACUGUCCGGCUUGAAUCUCGGAGGGGGUCAGAGAAUUCCCGGUGUAGAGGUGAAAUUCGUAGAUAUCGGGAGGAACACCAGUGGCGAAGGCGCUGACCUGGACGAUGAUUGACGCUG